GAAAGGCACUGGCUUCUAAAGCAGCUGUAACACCCUACAGCAAUUGGAACUUGGAAGAAGGAAUAUCAUAAAAAUUGUGGCCCAGGAUCACAUGGAAUAUAGAGCUGAUGAGGAACAUGCCCAAGUUGCUAGCAGCAGAGCUGCCAACAAGUAGGACACAAAAAAGAUUGAACAGAAAAGAAAAGAAAAUGAGAAAAUGCAUAACUUAAGCAGUAAGUGAUUGAUUUAUUUCACAUCUAGCUCUUACCCUUAUGGUAUCUUCUUUCUUCACGCUCACCUUGGUUGGCCGUUUAGAAACUAGAAAGAAGUAGAAGCAGGAUCUUCUCGCUUUCUUUCUUUU
rnacentral:misc_RNA from 1 species